rfam:Mycobacterium xenopi 3993 GMX3993.contig.4, whole genome shotgun sequence.
CUUGAUCGAUCCCAGCCAUAGCGGCUCGCUGCGAUGCUGCCCAUAGGUCGCCAACAACGCUUGCGCCUC